AUUGAACGCUGGCGGCGUGCUUAACACAUGCAAGUCGAUCGGUAACAGGUGUAGCAAUACAUGCUGACGAGAGGCGGACGGGUGAGUAAUGCUUGGGAAUCUGCCUAUUAGUGGGGGACAACCCGGGGAAACUCGGGCUAAUACCGCAUACGCUCUACGGAGGAAAGCCGGGGACCGCAAGGCCUGGCGCUAAUGAUGAGCCCAAGUCGGAUUAGCUAGUUGGUAGGGUAACGGCCUACCAAGGCGACAAUCCGUAGCUGGUCUGAGAGGACGACCAGCCACACCGGAACUGAGACACGGUCCGGACUCCUACGGGAGGCAGCAGUGGGGAAUAUUGGACAAUGGGGGCAACCCUGAUCCAGCGACGCCGCGUGGGUGAAGAAGG
rnacentral:rRNA from 1 species